ensembl:lncRNA novel transcript
GCGGUGAAGCCCCUCGGCUCGGCCGAGACCGCCGUGCCCAUUGCUCGCCUCGGUUGCCGCCGCUUUAGCCGCAGCCGCUGCUGCCGCCGCCGGGGGAGAGGCAGCCUAUUGUCUUUCUCCGCGGCGAAGGAGAUGGAGGAGGACAUCUGGACAGUGAGCAGGAGGCGCUUCGGCCCAUGCCGAACAUCCCAGGGGACCUGGAGAGCCGGGAGGCCAUGGUGGCAUUUUUCAACUCCGCUGGAGCCAAUGCCCAGGAGGAACAAAGGGUGUGCUGCCAGCCCCUGGCUCACCCAGUGGCCUCGUCCCAGAAAAAGCCAGAGGUAGCGGCCCCAGCCCCAGAGAGUGGGGGUGAGUCUGUGUUUGGGGAGACCCACCGGGCCCUGCAGGGGGCCAUGGAGAAGCUGCAGCGACUUUAUGGAAGGAGAAGGUGGACCUGAAGGAGCGGGUAGAGAAACUAGAGCUUCAAUUCAUCCACCUCUCAGGACAGACAGACACCAUAGGGAGAAAGUACAUCAGCCAGGGGGCAGUGUCAGAGACGCAGCACUGGGAGAGGAGGACAUCGUCAGGCUGGCCCAGGACCAGGAGGAGAUGAAGGUGAACCUGCAGGAGCUGCGGGGCAGGUGUUGCAGCUUGUGGGAGACCACAAGGAGGGGCAUGGCAAAUUCUGACCAUUGCCCAGAACCCUGCUGAUGAGCCCACUCUAGGAGCCCCAAUAGCCCAGGAGCUUGGGUGUGCUGACGAGCAGGGUGAUCACCACUGGAUUGCUGACAGAUAGAGGACGUGGGACCGUGACUAUCACCCCUAAUCUGCAGUGGAUUUGGCUCUCGGCACUCCCAGGCUGGGAGCUGGAUACCUGCCCUGGCAGCAUGACUCAGACUGCAUGACAGUGGCCGGACACCCCCUGGGAUGGCUCAAAGG